ensembl:lncRNA
AAAAAGUGAUAAACUUCAUAUGAUGUGAGCAAUUGCCUUCUUAGUGACCCAUUCCCAGUGCAGACUGUGACACAGGAAAACCCCCAGAGGACGUCCACACUGGUUUGUUAUGUUUCACAAUAACCUCCCUGUUUGCACCACACAGUGGGGCGCCCUUGGCAGGCUCUGCUGACGUGUCUUUCCUGGCACAAGUCUGAGAACAUGGGGUGCAUGUGAUCUCCCGGUGUGGGACCCAGAGAAGCAGCUUCUUGAAUGUCAGAGAGCAUUUGUGAAGCAGCUGAGGCAUGAACUUUCCUUGCAGACCCCGCUUUCAAGAAAAAAGAAACAGAGCUUUCGCCAAGUUACAGGUCCGCGGGGCUCACGUCCCUCUGUGAUGCCCAAGCGUACAGUGCUUACGCUGGGUCAUACUGCCCUUCACAGAUGAACACGUCUAGCUCUCACACUCCCUUGUGAUAAAAAGCACUGGAGGUGAAAAGAGAUGGAUGACAAAGGCAAUGAGGAGGAGACUGAGUCUGGAACCCACGGAGCAGCUGGUGUGUUUCACAGUCAGCACCUUGGGUCUCAAAUAAUAACCAUUCAGAUUCACAGUCUAUUUGAUUUUCUGACAAUCUACCACCUACAUGCCUUAAGAAAAGGAAAUUGAUUUUCUUGUGCAAUAAAUGAGACAGGGCAGAUUCAUCAGCUUCUAUGCUCCUACCCUUAAUGGAUGACUUAUUUCUACUCCUGUGAUAGUAGAGAGGAGGAGGACCUGCCAGUUAACAGCGUUUUUAUGUUUUUUUUUUUUUUCCUGGCUACAACAGAUAAGUUUCCUAAAACAACAAACUGUUUGAAAAUAGGAAGUGAAGCAGAUGAAGGCAUAUUAAGUCUCAACUAUCUUUUCUUGAACUUUCCUUGGUUAGCAGCUAUCUAGCUGUAGUUGUACAAAACUUCUUUUUCAAAUUCACGUCCUAGAACACAAAAUUAUACUUAAUUUUGCUCAUCAUUUUAUAUGAAUGAAAUUUGAAAUGAGUUUAAAUUUUGGAAAACGAAUAAUAAAACACUGAUGACAACUCUGACGGGCGCUUGGUUACGUGGCUGUUGUCCUUUUCAAAGCGUUUUGCUGUUGAAACUGCUGCUGCCGGAGGAGGUGGGGGGGUUUCCCAUUAGAAGAAGCAGGAGGGUGAGAUGGGUCACCCGCGGCCUGAGGGCGGGAAGCCCCGAGGAGGGCCGGCUGGGAUGGCCUCGGGACCCCCACCCAAACCAGCCCUGAAGUGGGAGGAGGGGAUGCCCGCGGGCAGCACACACCGCAGAGCGGGCACGGCCGCGGCCAUCUGACUGCUGAGCCUGCUCGUUACACAGGGCAGCCUGGUCCAAACGCCGCGGGGAUGUCCACGUGGCAGCUAAGAACAGGGCUCAUGACACCUCCUGGAGAAGGGAAGGCAGAGCCCCUCGCAAUGGC